rnacentral:lncRNA from 1 species
GAGAAGCACUCUGAUCCAGACAGGGAUUUACACCUAAAGUUCCAACUCCACCAUGUCUUCAGAACAGUUCUUCUGGACCUUGCAUCCAAUUGUGAUGAGAGUGCCAAGAAAUAAGAUAGAAACGCCAAGAAGAACCAAUUUGGGGUGAGUAGGCGUGCAAAGGAUGACUGAUUGAUAAAUUGGGUUUAGGAGUCAAGAGUUAUGCUCUAACAAUUGGGUAUAGCAGAAGGUAUUCAAAUAAGAAAUUGCUGGUAUUCU